AUCGCUCCAAUUUCGUGGGCGCGAGACACUUGGCUACAUUUGUUACUCAAGUGUCUGAUCUUGGACACAGGUGGGCAGGGGCAUUUUAAACAAAUUGCAUUAUUUUAUUAUUCAAUUUGUCAUUUGAAUGGAUUGUACGUCAAAGUUUGUUACAUUUGGACUUAGAGACUUUCCCGCCCUCAUACCCACUACAACUUUUGAUUGGGUGUGGACUGCAAAAGACAAUAUCAAGAGGAAAUCUAUAUAACUAAAAUUCCUACAAAAUAUUCUCGAAGGCUUGACAAUCUGGACUAGGCCAGCACGAUGGACUGAAGGCUACCCUUACAUUAACAAAGUAAGGUACUAUUCCCAGCAGCGAAAUAAUACACGCCACUUCCGGUUGAAACUUCCUAUUUUUUUCAUCCAAACUGGCUUUUCACGUGCGAAAAUAUAUUAUGGAUGAUGCAG